rnacentral:rRNA from 1 species
UACAGAGGUCUCAAGCGUUGUUCGGAUUCAUUGGGCGUAAAGGGCGCGUAGGCUGCGGGGCAAGUCGGGUGUGAAAUCUCAGAGCUCAACUCUGAAACUGCACUCGAUACUGCUUUGCUUGAGGACUGGAGAGGAGAUUGGAAUUCACGGUGUAGCAGUGAAAUGCGCAGAUAUCGUGAGGAAGACCAGUGGCGAAGGCGGAUCUCUGGACAGUUCCUGACGCUGAGGCGCGAAGGCCAGGGGAGCAAACGGG